GACGAACGCUGGCGGCGUGCUUAACACAUGCAAGUCGAGCGGUAAGGCCCUUUCGGGGUACGACGAGCGGCGAACGGGUGAGUAACACGUGGGUGACCUGCCCUCAGCUCUGGGAUAAGCCUGGGAAACCGGGUCUAAUACCGGAUAUGACCUCAUGACGCAUGUUGUGGGGUGGAAAGCCUUGUGCGGCUGAGGAUGGGCCCGCGGCCUAUCAGCUUGUUGGUGGGGUGANGGCCUACCAAGGCGACGACGGGUAGCCGGCCUGAGAGGGCGACCGGCCACACUGGGACUGAGACACGGCCCAGACUCCUACGGGAGGCAGCAGUGGGGAAUCUUGCGCAAUGGGCGAAAGCCUGACGCAGCGACGCCGCGUGAGGGAUGACGGCCU
rnacentral:rRNA from 1 species